UAGGGAAUAUUGGUAAUGUGCGAAAGCGUGAACCAGCAACGCCGCGUGCACGAUGAAGGCCUUCGGGUCGUAAAGUGCUUUUAGAGAGGAUGAGGAAGGACAGUACUUUCUGAAUAAGCCUCGGCUAACUACGUGCCAGCAGCCGCGGUAAAACGUAGGAGGCAAGCGUUAUCCGGAUUUACUGGGCGUAAAGCGCAUGCAGGUGGUUUUGUAAGUUGGAUGUGAAAGCUCCUGGCUUAACUGGGAGAGGUCGUUCAAAACUACAAGACUUGAGAUUGGUAGAGGAAAAUGGAAUUCCGGGUGUAGUGGUGAAAUGCGUAGAUAUCCGGAGGAACACCAGUGGCGAAAGCGGUUUUCUGGACCAAUUCUGACACUCAGAUGCGAAAGCUAAGGUAGCAAACG
rnacentral:rRNA from 1 species